UACGAAGGGGGCUAGCGUUGCUCGGAAUUACUGGGCGUAAAGGGCGCGUAGGCGGCACUGUUAGUCAGGCGUGAAAGUCCUGGGCUCAACCUGGGAACUGCGUCUGAUACUGGAGGGCUUGAGUAUGGGAGAGGGAUGUAGAAUUCCAGGUGUAGCGGUGAAAUGCGUAGAUAUCUGGAGGAAUACCGGUGGCGAAGGCGGCAUCCUGGACCAUUACUGACGCUGAGGCGCGAAAGCUAGGGGAGCAAACGGG
rnacentral:rRNA from 1 species